rnacentral:rRNA from 1 species
UACGUAGGUGGCAAGCGUUAUCCGGAAUUAUUGGGCGUAAAGAGCGCGCAGGUGGUUAAUCAAGUCUGAUGUGAAAGCCCACGGCUUAACCGUGGAGGGUCAUUGGAAACUGGUUGACUUGAGUGCAGAAGAGGGAAGUGGAAUUCCAUGUGUAGCGGUGAAAUGCGUAGAGAUAUGGAGGAACACCAGUGGCGAAGGCGGCUUCCUGGUCUGCAACUGACACUGAGGCGCGAAAGCGUGGGGAGCAAACAGG